AUUGAACGCUGGCGGCAGGCCUAACACAUGCAAGUCGAGCGGAUGAAGGGAGCUUGCUCCUGGAUUCAGCGGCGGACGGGUGAGUAAUGCCUAGGAAUCUGCCUGGCAGUGGGGGAUAACGUCCGGAAACGGGCGCUAAUACCGCAUACGUCCUGAGGGAGAAAGUGGGGGAUCUUCGGACCUCACGCUAUCAGAUGAGCCUAGGUCGGAUUAGCUAGUUGGUGGGGUAAAGGCCUACCAAGGCGACGAUCCGCAACUGGUCUGAGAGGAUGAUCAGUCACACUGGAACUGAGACACGGUCCAGACUCCUACGGGAGGCAGCAGUGGGGAAUAUUGGACAAUGGGCGAAAGCCUGAUCCAGCCAUGCCGCGUGUGUGAAGAAGGUCUUCGGAUUGUAAAGCACUUUAAGUUGGGAGGAAGGGCAGUAAGUUAAUACCUUGCUGUUUUGACGUUACCAACAGAAUAAGCACCGGCUAACUUCGUG
rnacentral:rRNA from 1 species